rnacentral:rRNA from 1 species
AUUGAACGCUGGCGGCAGGCCUAACACAUGCAAGUCGAGCGGAGCGGCGGACGGGUGAGUAAUGCCUAGGAAUCUGCCUGGUAGUGGGGGAUAACGUCCGGAAACGGGCGCUAAUACCGCAUACUAUCAGAUGAGCCUAGGUCGGAUUGGCUAGUUGGGGGGGUAAAGGCCUACCAAGGCGACGAUCCGUAACUGGUCUGAGAGGAUGAUCAGCCACACUGAAACUGAGACACGUUCCAGACUCCUAGGGAGGGCAGCAGUGGGGAAGAUUGCAGAAUGGGCGCAAGCCUGAUGCAGCCAUGCGGCGUGUAGGAGGAAGGCCUUCGGGUUGUAAAGUACUUUCAGCGUGGAGGCGUUACCCGCAGAAGAAGCACCGGCUAACUCCGUGCCAGCAGCCGCGGUAUAC